CCGCUCGGUCCUGAGGGUCGGAGGCAAGCCAAGGCUUCCCCGCUACUCCCACAUGGUCUGAGGAAAAACAUCAAGGUAUGAGAUCCAAAUGUAGGAGUUCCCUUACAAAAAGGAGCUGCCUGUGGCUGUGAUCUCCAAAAAUGCAGGAAAACAUGAAGCAUGUGACAGAACGUCGGAAGACAGCCAGAAGGAGAGCACCCAGUUUGAAGAAACCAUUCAUUGGAGGAAUAGCAUCUUGGAGGAGGAUGACUUUCCCUACUAUUACCAUAUCCUUUUCAGGUGUAACUAGAGAAACUGCAAAUGUUUGUGUCAAUGAGCCAUUACAUGUGUAUCAAUAGCAUUUCAGCACAAGAUGGUUACACAGUCAACAAUGUGACAUGGAUUUUUAUACUGGUUCUUACCAAUUACCUUUACUGCUGCAGUGAACUAUUGCAACACCUGUGAAGACACUGUGCUCCUUUCCACUCAAUCUGUUAAAGAAAGCAGAUAUAACAGUUGCAACUAUUUUGCUGUAAGUACUAAUUUAUGAAUAAUUUAUGAGAUGAUUAUGAUUAUGCAAUAAUUUAUUUUCUAAAUCCAGUGUAAAAACUGCACAUUAUGAUAUCUGAACCUACAGAUACAAACUACGAUAUUAGCAUCAGAAGUUUUAAAAUUGCAGACCUUGAAAGCAUCUUAUAUGCAUCUUGUUUGUCCACUGGUUUCUCCAAAAUCUGGUCUUCUAUUGUCUGAAAUUAAAAUAGAAAUAUUUUGCUAUAUACAUCUCAUUACAGUGGAAUUAGUAUCUAAUUAUAAAUAUAUGUUUAAAACAUUAAAGAACUGUGACCAUAGGGA